AGGAUGAACGCUGGCGGUCUGCUUAACACAUGCAAGUCGAACGGAGUAGCAAUACUUAGUGGCGGACGGGUGAGUAACGCGUGAGAAUCUACCUUCAGGACGGAGACAACAGUUGGAAACGACUGCUAACCCCCGAUGUACCGAAAGGGCAAAUAUUUAUAGCCUGAAGAAGAGCUCGCGUCCGAUUAGCUAGUUGGAGAGGUAAAAGCUCACCAAGGCGACGAUCGGUAGCUGGUCUGAGAGGACGAUCAGCCACACUGGGACUGAGACACGGCCCAGACUCCUACGGGAGGCAGCAGUGGGAAUUUCGCAAUGGGCGAAAGCCUGACGGAGCGACGCCGCGUGUGGGAAGAAGGCCUUCGGGUCGUAAACCACUGUCGAAGGGACGAUAAUGACGGUACCUUGGAGGAACGCCCGGCUAACGUACGUGCCAGCAGCCGC
rnacentral:rRNA from 1 species